rnacentral:rRNA from 1 species
GCGAUCAUACCACCACUAAUGCACCGGAUCCCAUCAGAACUCCGAAGUUUACCGUGCUUGGGCGAGAGCAGUACUAGGAUGGGUGACCCCCUGGGAAGUCCUCGUGUUGCACCU